CCCUACCAUCGGGAAAAAGUUGAAAUAAAGAGAAGAAAAAAAUCUCAUUUCAAAAAAGAAAAAAAAAACAAAGAGAAGAAAAAUAUCAAAGCUUUGUUAUUGGCGUAGGAAGAUGAGGACUACGUAGAGAAGGGAGUGAAAAUAUCUUGGCUCCAUGAUACAGGGAAAGAAGCCCCUGUCAAUGGCAGGAGGCAGAAAGUGGAUUUUUGUUGAUGAAGAAAAUGAUGGUGGUUAUUUUUUUGGCUAAGGUGUUGUGGCAUGUAUCAUUUAGAUAGUGGAUUUUUGUUGAUAAAGAAAAUGAUGGUGAUUGUUUUGGCUGAAGUGUUGCCGCAUGUUUCAUUUAGAAAGUGAAUUUUUGAUAGCCGCUUGUGUAACUUGAAUGGUAUUUCAAUGAUAGUGUUUGUGUUAUAGCUGA